AUUUACCAACCCAGUUAAGGAGUGAUGACCAACAUAAGGUAUCUUAUUAAAAACUGAUAUGCAGGACUGAUCACUCAUUCAAGAAUCAGAUUUGGAGUUACGAAAGCUUAAGUGAUCUUUUUGAGCAAAUGAGGCAGAUUAGGUUAGGGAUUUGGGGAAACCUAAUUGGGUUGUACAAGUUUGCUGCCAUAUUACUCAUUCUAUCAGUUUGUGUGUAAGGUUGAACAAGUCGCGACCACGAAACUAGUCAAGUGAGAAUGCUCAGGGAAGAACUAUAGCUUCUGCAAGAGCCUGCACAAAGAGUUAUCUUCGCUCCUGUCUUAGCACAAUACCAGCUGAGGCUGCCUAUUGGAAGGUAUUCAUCAGAGUUUGCUUUUGUUUUCAUACAAUGGUUUGUUUGCUGGCCUAUGAUUUUAAAAUGCAG